GAUCAUGGCUCAGGAUGAACGCUAGCGACAGGCCUAACACAUGCAAGUCGAGGGGCAGCGGAUAGGUAGCAAUACCUUUGCCGGCGACCGGCGCACGGGUGAGUAACACGUAUGCAAUCCACCUGUAACAGGGGGAUAACCCGGAGAAAUCCGGACUAAUACCCCAUAAUAUGGGCGCUCCGCAUGGAUAGCCCAUUAAAGAGAGCAAUUUUGGUUACAGACGAGCAUGCGCU
rnacentral:rRNA from 1 species